rnacentral:rRNA from 1 species
UGGGGAAUAUUGCACAAUGGGCGCAAGCCUGAUGCAGCCAUGCCGCGUGUAUGAAGAAGGCCUUCGGGUUGUAAAGUACUUUCAGCGAGGAGGAAGGCGUUGUGGUUAAUAACCGCAACGAUUGACGUUACUCGCAGAAGAAGCACCGGCUAACUCCGUGCCAGCAGCCGCGGUAAUACGGAGGGUGCAAGCGUUAAUCGGAAUUACUGGGCGUAAAGCGCACGCAGGCGGUCUGUCAAGUCGGAUGUGAAAUCCCCGGGCUCAACCUGGGAACUGCAUCCGAAACUGGCAGGCUAGAGUCUUGUAGAGGGGGGUAGAAUUCCAUGUGUAGCGGUGAAAUGCGUAGAGAUCUGGAGGAAUACCGGUGGCGAAGGCGGCCCCCUGGACAAAGACUGACGCUCAGGUGCGAAAGCGUGGGGAGCAAACA